UGGGGAAUUUUGCACAAUGGGGGAAACCCUGAUGCAGCAACGCCGCGUGAGUGAAGAAGGCCCUUGGGUCGUAAAGCUCUUUCGGCUGAGAAGAAGGGCUAUGUGGCUAAUAUCCACGUAGUUUGACGGUAUCAGAAGAAGAAGCACCUGCUAACUUCGUGCCAGCAGCAGCGGUAAUACGAAGGGUGCAAGCGUUGUUCGGAAUUACUGGGCGUAAAGGGCGCGUAGGCGGGUUUGUAAGUCGAAUGUGAAAUCCCCAGGCUCAACCUGGGACCUGCAUUCGAUACUGCUAAUCUUGAAUGCUUGAGAGGGUGGUGGAAUUCCUAGUGUAGAAGUGAAAUUCGUAGAUAUUAGGAGGAACACCUGAGGCGAAGGCGGCCACCUGGCAAGACAUUGACGCUGAGGCGCGAAAGUGCGGGGAGCAAACAGG
rnacentral:rRNA from 1 species